UCAAGGCCUAUAGCACAUCCGACCAAAGAUGCACGGAUCUCUACCACAUGCUGGAAAAUUCAACACCACUUGUGGCCAAUCUAAGUCCUUGUAGACUGCCCCGCCAAGGGCCUACAGCACACCCGACCAAAGGUGCUCGGACCUUUACCACACUCCGAAAAAUCCAACGCCACGUGCGGUAAAGUGAUAGUAACUAAAUGAGCCCACACGCCGGAAAAAUCCAACAAUACGUGUAGCUAAACCAAAGCAUGUCCUACGCGCGCGGACUGCCUUGCCAAGGGCCUACGGCAUACCCGAGCAAAGGUCCCCGGACCUUU
rnacentral:lncRNA from 1 species